rnacentral:pre_miRNA from 1 species
CUGUAUCUUGGAGUUCCUCUGAACUCUUCAUCUAAAUUAAGGGCUAGCAAGAAAGAAUGAAAAUCCUUUUGAUGAAGUGUUUGGGGGAACUCUUGGAUUCAA